GCUGGAGGGCAGAGAAGAGGAAGGUGUCACCAGAAGGCAGGUUUAGGGAAAACCACGCAUUUGGGUGAAGGGAUCCAAGCCUGGGAAGUGAGACGGACAAACACAAGGAGCUCCAAAGUGGAACAAGGGCAGAGUGGAAGAACUAGAGGCCUGGGGGUAGGACAGGCUGAGCCCUACUGGAGUAAGGACAUAUGGAUAACAGAGGACAGGAGAUUACAGCCACCAGAAGGGUCUGAGGGGAGAGAGAGGAAGAGACAGACUGCUUAAAGGAGGUGGAAAAUAGAAUUUUAGGAAAUAAGACAGGAAGAAGCCAGGUGCAGUGGCUCAGGCCUGUAAUCCCAGCACUUUGGGAGACUGAUGUGGGUAGAUCGCUUUGAGCUCAAGAAUUUGAGACCAGCCUGGCCAAGAUGGCGAAACCCCAUCUCUACCAAAAAUACAAAAG